UGAAAACAAAUGGAGGCACAUAAGAGAAGAUGACGAUGUAGGAGAGGAGUCGUCUCUUGCAAUGAACAAUGAGAAAUGUUGCAAAGUUUAUCAUGAUCGGUGCCAUUAUAACUCAGGUCGAUAAAAGUUCAUCCCUUGAGUACCAUCAAAUUGUCCUAUGGUAUUGGUAGUUGUAAUUUCUAGGGUGACUUGCUGUGAAACCGUUGUUGGAUGAUUUCUUCAUGACUCGAUCCAACUUGCAAUGUUUUUUGCCCUCGCUUGCAAAUGGUUGCUUAUCUUCUCCGUAGACAUUCCAGCUUCAGUUAUCGUGCGCAAAGUCAUCCCAUAAACUCAGCUCAUGUGUUACUGCAGUCGAUGCUGAUUCUCACAUCAAGCUUUUGAACAUUUAAACAAAGCUUUCGAAUGCAACUUUAAUUUUGCUUGGCGUCACUGUCAAUUCUUGGUCUUAUUCCUUUUCAGCUA